GAUGAACGCUGGCGGCGUGCCUAAUACAUGCAAGUCGAGCGAACAGAUGAGGAGCUUGCUCCUCUGACGUUAGCGGCGACCGGGUGAGUAACACGUGGAUAACCUACCUAUAAGACUGGGAUAACUUCGGGAAACCGGAGCUAAUACCGGAUAAUAUAUUGAACCGCAUGGUUCAAUAGUGAAAGACGGUUUUGCUGUCACUUAUAGAUGGAUCCGCGCCGCAUUAGCUAGUUGGUAAGGUAACGGCUUACCAAGGCAACGAUGCGUAGCCGACCUGAGAGGGUGAUCGGCCACACUGGAACUGAGACACGGUCCAGACUCCUACGGGAGGCAGCAGUAGGGAAUCUUCCGCAAUGGGCGAAAGCCUGACGGAGCAACGCCGCGUGAGUGAUGAAGGCCUUCGGAUCGUAAAACUCUGUUAUUAGGGAAGAACAAAUGUGUAAGUAACUAUGCACGUCUUGACGGUACCUAAUCAGAAAGCCACGGCUAACUACGUG
rnacentral:rRNA from 1 species